GCUUCGGCCUUAGUGGCGCACGGGUGCGUAACGCGUGGGAAUCUGCCCUUGGGUCCGGAAUAACAGUUAGAAAUGACUGCUAAUACCGGAUGAUGACUUCGGUCCAAAGAUUUAUCGCCCAGGGAUGAGCCCGCGUAGGAUUAGCUAGUUGGUGGGGUAAAGGCCUACCAAGGCGACGAUCCUUAGCUGGUCUGAGAGGAUGAUCAGCCACACUGGGACUGAGACACGGCCCAGACUCCUACGGGAGGCAGCAGUGGGGAAUAUUGGACAAUGGGCGAAAGCCUGAUCCAGCAAUGCCGCGUGAGUGAUGAAGGCCUUAGGGUUGUAAAGCUCUUUUACCCGGGAAGAUAAUGACUGUACCGGGAGAAUAAGCUCCGGCUAACUCCGUGCCAGCAGCCGCGGUAAUACGGAGGGAGCUAGCGUUGUUCGGAAUUACUGGGCGUAAAGCGCACGUAGGCGGCUUUGUAAGUUAGAGGUGAAAGCCUGGAGCUCAACUCCAGAACUGCCUUUAAGACUGCAUCGCUUGAAUCCAGGAGAGGUGAGUGGAAUUCCGAGUGUAGAGGUGAAAUUCGUAGAUAUUCGGAAGAACACCAGUGGCGAAGGCGGCUCACUGGACUGGUAUUGACG
rnacentral:rRNA from 1 species